rnacentral:rRNA from 1 species
AUGGCGUGCCAGCAGUCCCGCGCCUACGCGGCCAUCCUCCAGCGCAGCGCCGCCGCCGACCCCCGCCGCGUCGCCUCCCUCCACGCGGCGAUCCUCAAGCCGGGCCUCCUCGCCUGCGACCAGUUCCUGGCCAACCACCUCCUCAUCGCCUACUUCAGGUCGCCGCUCCGGCCCCGCCGCCACGGCCUCCGCCUGCUCGACGAAAUGCCCCGCCGCAACGCCGUCUCCUGGGCCGCCGCCGUCUCGGGGCUCGCGCACGGGGGCCGGCCCCGCGAGGCGCUCGCGCUCUUCCGCGCGAUGCGCCGCGAGGGGGCCCCGCCCAGCGUGUUCGCGCUCGUCAGCGCGCUCAACGCCAGCUCGCUCGUCGCCCCCGGCGGCGCGCACGCGCGGCAGCUCUACGCCCUCGCCGUCCGGCUCGGCUUCGAGUCCCACGCCUUCGUGCUGAACGCGUUCCUCGCGGCGAUGGUCCGGCACGAGCGGCUCGCCGACGCCGUGCGGCUGUUCGAGUGGGCCUCCGGGCGCCGCGACGUCGUCUCGUGGAACACGCUGCUCGCCGGGCUCGCGCGCCGCUCGCGCACGCGCAUGUGGAUUCUCUGGCGGAGGAUGGCCCGGGAAGGCGCCGGGGCCGACGGGUUCUCGUUCAGCACCGUGCUCUCGGGGCUGACGGCCGAUGCCGACACGGUGAGCGGUUUGCAGGUCCACGGACAGCUUGUCAAGAGCGGCUUCGGCGACGAUGUCUGCGUGGGCAACUCCCUGGUGGAGAUGUACACGAAGAAUGGGGCCCUGGAGUCCGGCGCCAAAGCGUUCGCCGAGAUGCCCCAAAGAGACGUCGUGUCGUGGACGGAGAUGGCCGCCGGUUGGCUGCACUGUGGCGAGCCCGCCAAGGCCAUCGGAGUCCUUGGUCCCAUGAUGCUCGAAGGAAUUAGGCCGAACAACUACACAUUGGCGACGGCAGCCAAUGCCUGCGCGACCCUCGCCGGUCCGAGCGAAGGGCGCAAGGUUCAUGGAUACGCCAUCAGACUGGGAGAGGGCUCCGAUGUCGCCGUGAACAACGCGCUCAUCGACAUGUACUCCAAGUGCGGCCUGGUGGACACCGCGCACAGGGUGUUCCAAUCGAUGCGGCAGCGGCCCGUCAUAUCCUGGACAACGAUGAUCAUGGGGUUCGCGCGGAACGGGCAACCUCAGGACGCCGUGAAGGUGUUCGACGACAUGCUUCUGGAAGGCGUCGCGCCUAACCACGUCACGUUCCUCUGCGUCCUCCAUGCCUGCAGCCAAGGCGGGUUCAUGGAGGAAGCCUGGAUAUACUUCAGAGCCAUGGCAGACAAGUUCGGCGUCGAGCCUGGAGAGGACCACUACGCCUGCAUGGUCGAUCUCCUCGGGAAAGCAGGCCAUAUAGAGGACGCCGAGGAGCUGAUAUCGCGGAUGCCUUUCCGCCCCGGGGUUCUGGUCUGGCAGGCGUUGCUUGGCGCCUGUCAACUCCAUGGCAAUGAGGCUGCAGCGAAGCGAGCUGCAGAGCGCGCGCUCGCGCUCGAGAAGGAAGACCCGUCGACAUACCUGCUGCUGUCGAGGACGCUCGCGAGUCGGCACGAUUGGGGCGGCGCCGGAAGGUCGAGAGGGCUCAUGGGGGACAGAGAAGUCAUGAAGCUGCCUGGGUCUACCUGGUUGCAGUCCAUGCCCGAGACUGAGAGUGCCCAGGCUUGCACAGCA